CAUCAUUCUAAAUACCAGGAACACUGAAAUUACCAGUACAAAUUGCUUCCAGCUGAAAUUGCAGCCUACCCAGCCCUUUCAUUUCUGAGUCAUGACUACCCUAACAAGUGAAAAUCUUUGGCCGCUACUGCUAUAGACUGAUGUCAGUUAGACUCUGCCUGACACCACUUUAAGACCAUAGAGAGAGGAUUCAUUUCACUGAAUGCAGGACUUGGACAUUUGCGCUUGAGGACUGACUCCAGACUCCCAUUCUAAUGAAGGAAGAACACAGAACAAUUUGUGUACUGUGUUUAAGUACAUAUUUUUUUAAUUUGAGUGAAGAGAUGGAAAAACCCCGAGAUCAAUUCAAACUCAUUUUUCAAAAGCACUCACUUCCCAAGCAGAAACAAAUUACCAC